rnacentral:rRNA from 1 species
AUUGAACGCUGGCGGCAGGCCUAACACAUGCAAGUCGAACGGUAACAGAAAGCAGCUUGCUGCUUUGCUGACGAGUGGCGGACGGGUGAGUAAUGUCUGGGAAACUGCCUGAUGGAGGGGGAUAACUACUGGAAACGGUAGCUAAUACCGCAUAACGUCGCAAGACCAAAGAGGGGGACCUUCGGGCCUCUUGCCAUCGGAUGUGCCCAGAUGGGAUUAGCUAGUAGGUGGGGUAACGGCUCACCUAGGCGACGAUUCCUAGCUGGUCUGAGAGGAUGACCAGCCACACUGGAACUUAGACACGGUCCAGACUCCUACGGGAGGCAGCAGUGGGGAAUAUUGCACAAUGGGCGCAAGCCUGAUGCAGCCAUGCCGCGUGUAUGAAGAAGGCCUUCGGGUUGUAAAGUACUUUCAGCGGGGAGGAAGGGAGUAAAGUUAAUACCUUUGCUCAUUGACGUUACCCGCAGAAGAAGCACCGGCUAACUCCGUG